GCAUGAAAGACGUGUGAUGGUCUUUCCGGGUUCGCCCGGAAAGUGAAAAGGGAACACGAUAGAAGCCUCAUGCUUCGAUUCGUGGCUGCCCCCGCAACUGUGAGCGGAUAGCCUGAAAACGAAAAGCCACUGACUGCAAAGUUCGGGAAGGUGUUUUCAAGGUUACGACCCGCGAGCCAGGAGACCUGCCAUCACAUGAGUGUCGUC
rnacentral:ncRNA from 2 species